ACGAACGCUGGCGGCGUGCUUAACACAUGCAAGUCGAACGGAAAGGCCCUGCUUUUGUGGGGUGCUCGCGUGGCGAACGGGUGAGUAACACGUGAGUAACCUCCCCUUGACUUUGGGAUAACUUCAGGAAACUGGGGCUAAUACCGGAUAGGAGCUCCUGCUGCAUGGUGGGGGUUGGAAAGUUUCGGCGGUUGGGGAUGGACUCGCGGCUUAUCAGCUUGUUGGUGGGGUAGUGGCUUACCAAGGCUUUGACGGGUAGCCGGCCUGAGAGGGUGACCGGCCACAUUGGGACUGAGAUACGGCCCAGACUCCUACGGGAGGCAGCAGUGGGGAAUAUUGCACAAUGGGCGGAAGCCUGAUGCAGCAACGCCGCGUGCGGGGUGACGGCCUUCGGGUUGUAAACCGCUUUCGCCUGUGACGAAGCGUGAGUGACGGUAAUGGGUAAAGAAGCACCGGCUAACUACGUG
rnacentral:rRNA from 1 species